AAAUUGAAGAGUUUGAUCAUGGCUCAGAUUGAACGCUGGCGGCAGGCCUAACACAUGCAAGUCGAACGGUAACAGGAAACAGCUUGCUGUUUCGCUGACGAGUGGCGGACGGGUGAGUAAUGUCUGGGAAACUGCCCGAUGGAGGGGGAUAACUACUGGAAACGGUAGCUAAUACCGCAUAACGUCGCAAGACCAAAGAGGGGGACCUUCGGGCCUCUUGCCAUCGGAUGUGCCCA
rnacentral:rRNA from 1 species